rnacentral:ncRNA from 1 species
CUUAUCAAGAGUGGCGGAGGGACUGGCCCUGUGAAGCCCGGCAACCUGUCGUGCGACAAGGUGCCAAAUCCCGACAGAUGAGU